GUUCCUUUAUGAUAUUAUCCCCUUGCCCUGUUUGGGAUAGAAUGUUCCAUGGAAACGCCCUUUGUGUGUCCCCUUCUCUUGUUCUGCCCUUGGGUGUGGCCUUCCUAGAUGUCAGUCAACCUGCUGACAGUGGACAUCAGGAAGCUAGACUCAGCCCCCUGAAACCUGACCCCUUGCCUCAUGUGAAUGGCUUCUCCUCAAUAAAAGGGGUCAGCGCACCCUAGCUCGCUCUCUCUUUCUGCAGACCCUUAAGGUCGGAGGAGCCGUC
rnacentral:lncRNA from 1 species